UACGUAGGGCGCAAGCGUUGUCCGGAAUUAUUGGGCGUAAAGAGCUCGUAGGCGGCUUGUCACGUCGGAUGUGAAAGCCCGGGGCUUAACUCCGGGUCUGCAUUCGAUACGGGCUAGCUAGAGUGUGGUAGGGGAGAUCGGAAUUCCUGGUGUAGCGGUGAAAUGCGCAGAUAUCAGGAGGAACACCGGUGGCGAAGGCGGAUCUCUGGGCCUUACCUGACGCUGAGGCGCGAAAGCUAGGGGAGCGAACAGG
rnacentral:rRNA from 1 species